rnacentral:rRNA from 1 species
GGUAGCUAAAUGCGGAAGAGAUAAGUGCUGAAAGCAUCUAAGCACGAAACUUGCCCCGAGAUGAGUUCUCCCUGAGACUUUAAGUCUCCUGAAGGAACGUUGAAGACGACGACGUUGAUAGGUCGGGUGUGUAAGCGCAGCGAUGCGUUGAGCUAACCGAUACUAAUGAACCGUGAGGCUUAACCUU